CAGACUCCUACGGGAGGCAGCAGUGGGGAAUCUUCCGCAAUGGACGAAAGUCUGACGGAGCAACGCCGCGUGAGUGAUGACGGCCUUCGGGUUGUAAAGCUCUGUUAAUCGGGACGAAAGGCCUUCUUGCGAAUAGUGAGAAGGAUUGACGGUACCGGAAUAGAAAGCCACGGCUAACUACGUGCCAGCAGCCGCGGUAAUACGUAGGUGGCAAGCGUUGUCCGGAAUUAUUGGGCGUAAAGCGCGCGCAGGCGGAUAGGUCAGUCUGUCUUAAAAGUUCGGGGCUUAACCCCGUGAUGGGAUGGAAACUGCCAAUCUAGAGUAUCGGAGAGGAAAGUGGAAUUCCUAGUGUAGCGGUGAAAUGCGUAGAUAUUAGGAAGAACACCAGUGGCGAAGGCGACUUUCUGGACGAAAACUGACGCUGAGGCGCGAAAGCCAGGGGAGCGAACGGGAUUAGAUACCCCGGUAGUCCUGGCCGUAAACGAUGGGUACUAGGUGUAGGAGGUAUCGACCCCUUCUGUGCCGGAGUUAACGCAAUAAGUACCCCGCCUGGGGAGUACGACCGCAAGGUUGAAACUCAAAGGAAUUGACGGGGGCCCCGCACAAG
rnacentral:rRNA from 1 species